UGCCCCAUGGCUGAGUUGGUUACAGCGUCCGACUGUUAGGACAUCGCAAGCAAUCGGAAGGUCGUGAGUUCGAGCCUCACUGGGGCAG